CUUAAACACAACCAGAAACACACAACACAUGCCUUACACACAAACACACACUGCUUUCUAUCCCUUACACAAAAACACACUGCAUCACCUAUACAAACUGGUAUCCCUAUACACUACAUUCCAUAAGCCCACACUUUAGAUCCUCUACACUAACGCAUCCCCUACACACUCCACUCCCUGUGAGCAAACUCAUGGGUGGAACAUGUAGGUGGACUUAUGGGUGGACUCACAGACCUUGAACUGUGCAAGCGGCCCCCCAAAAAUGGAGCUGCUUCCCGUUCCCCCAAAACAUUGACUUUUGUGACCACAGUUACAAGCAACCACCAGAGAUCCUGUUCUACACCAGACCAGUGGAGCCAGACUGCAGCCAGAGCCCAUCACCAUCCUCAUCUGGUUGUAAGUAUACAAUCCAGUAUAUUACUCAUUGAACUAAUCUCUAAUUUACAUUAAAGGGACACUAUAGUCCCCAGAACCACUGCAGCUUAAUGAAGUGGUUCUGGUGUCUAUAGCCGGUCCCUGCAGACUUUUUAAUGUAAACACACACUGUGUGCAGCACUGGCAUUAGUUUAUAUGGCAGGUCAUAUGGGUGGGGCAUUGUGAUGUCACAUGAGGGGUGGGGGGACGGCAAAUUUUUAUCCUUGCACCGGCCCUGGUUUCAUGUGAAAUCAUCCAUGGUCUCAACGUUCAGAGGUGUAUUUCUUAACUGUGAAGGAAUAGAAUGACUUCUGGCAAAGGUAAAAUCCAUAAAAUGUCCGGCUGCCCCUAAGUUUAACAAUGCUACAGUAUUUAGUUAAUUCUUCUCUCAGAUUAGGAAAUGGGAAUAUGGAACCUGUGAUCUUUGUCUUUAUACAUGCAGGACAUAGUAGAAACACCCAAAGCCUGUCAUCCAGCAGAACUUAGAUGCGGGAGGUUUCAGGCCUACAAGGAUAAGUUCAGCGAGAAUAACUUGUUUCUGCAGUACAUACAUAACCUCUCUUGUCCUCUGUAUAGUUUCUCUGCUUUGGUUAACCUGGAUACCACUAAGUGCAUCGGUUCAGGCAGUGCUAAGGCCAUAGAGUCUGCAGGGUUGCAUGAUAGUGCUAAUCUGCUGUAACCUAUUCUAGGUUUGAGACAGAUAAGAUCUUUCAAGAAGAUAUCUGGGGGCAACCUCAUCCAGAAUACUGUCUGAAAGGCCAUGUAGGAAGACAUCCACAAAUGCCGGAUUAUUCCAUCUUACUUCUGCUACUAAAGAUAUGAAUUCUAAGGCAUGAUCAACUAAGGAUUUAAUGCGAAGAAGUGAUCUGGCAGCGUUUGCCUUUCUACCAGGAAGAUCAAAUGUCCUCCUAAAAUUAUUGCUAAAAGCAUCACAAUUGUAGACCAGAGGGUUUCAUUCUCCCAUAAGGAAUUAGCCAAAAUCAACACUUUAUCAAAUCGAUAUGGUAAAUCCUAUUUUGACUCUGUGGGACAGGCCCUAAGAUGUAACUCAAAAACUUUACUUAUCUGGUUUACAAAAACCACAAAACGUAUCAGGUGCUGCAACAUAGUGUGGAGGUGAAGUCAUGUGUGAAGUGGAUCUAUAAGGGGAUACUUCUAACCCAGUUGAUACAGGAUUGCUGAACGUACCAAAGUCAAAGGCUGCAAGGCAAGGGCAAUCUGGUCCAAAGGAUGGUCCAUAUUCUCAAAUCAGGUAUCAUACGAUGCCCCUUGGGGGCUUAUAAUAGCUUCAUAUGGCCCAACAUGUAGUGUGUAAGUAAUAAUCGGAAAAUAAACGUAUACAGGACCUUAAAGUAUGGCCAAAGACAAGCCGCAGAAGCCAGAAAUCAGUCAAGGAUUAUAGUCAGUACAGCUGACGUCAAUAAACCAGAAAUACACAGAGAAUUAUAAUGUGCUGUGGAGAGGAGAGGGACUAUGGAAAAGGUCCAACUCUAGAAAAAAAGAAAAAGGACAAAACCAGGGGGGAAAAAAACCAAAACAAAUAUAAUCUUACAAAUAAAUUAAAAAAUCCACCACAGUGGAGUGUUAUAAAGCAUUGAAUACUUAGUGCCACCACUGUGAUUUGCUUGAUGUAGCUACAGAAAAUGACAAUUUAUAUGUUGCACUAACUAGAUUGUCCUGGAAGUUGAAUCCAGAAAAAAGGCUCCGGGUGCAGAUACCUGGCGGGACCCAGUUAAGUGGGUACACUAUUCUAAAAUACUAUGACAAAUAUACAGGGAGGAUAACAGAGCAGUCCAAGUAAUAUAACAUGCUGUAGUGGUUAUAUUGUUUGGAUUGUUUUUUUUAAUAAGUGUCUUAUAUAAAAAAAAACAACAGAGAAAGAACUCCUAGGUGCACAACCUAAUUAAAUGUGAUCCGCACACCUAGGUAGACGUGUAUUAAUGUAGUAUCCUAGUUAGGGAUAGGUGAACGUUGUGUGACAAAGAGAGCUCAGUGAAAAGGGCUCCUGUUACAAUCGACCACUGUCAAAUUUUACUCAACCUUCCGAGGUCAAUAACUGGAAUACCAAUAGGUUGGUUAAAAGUAAAAUAAAAACUUUGAAAUCUCAGGACAUACUUGCACACUAAGAAAUUAGAGGAAUGCUAAAUUUAUCUUUCCCGGAUAAAUACUUUUAUAUUUUUUGGAAAAAUAAACAAAUUAUCGCCCAUGUCCUUAACUGAAAAACCCUAACUUUGUACAUUAGUACAGUUUAAAGCGGUGCCCAUCGAACGCUUACACAAUGACAGUUGGCACAGUCCUGAACCUUGCUGGCAAUCUAUCCACUAACCAACAGCAGAGAAACUGGUCACACAGUUGUCAGCAGUUUUCAUAAAAAACAGUAGUCCGCUCUAGGUUAAUUUUAAAAAAGAGGUAAGAGGGGACGUGGUGUGGGGUGGUGGUGGUGUGUGUGUUUUUUGAUUUUUCACUAAAGUUUGAUUGUUUGGAGUUACCCUUUAAUGGACAUUCCGGACACCAUAACAACGGUACCUCAAUGGAGUUGUUACAGUGCUAGUAGGCACCAGGCACUACGUUAAACUGUUAACAAAUGGCUUAACUCCAAAGUCUGCAAGCUGAUGUCCAAUUGCUCUACCCCUGUACUUCCUCUGAAUGUCUGAGGCUUUAAAUCAGAAAGCCUUGCAGUGGAUGCGGUUAUGCUAAGAGCAUUAGCUCCCAAUUCAGAAAAAGUGAGUGAAAGAUACACUCUCAGUCUAUCAGUGAAACCUGGUCCGAGGCUUCCUGAUUGUAACAUCGAACAUGGAGAGGCAGUGAAAUUACAUGCAAUUAGACAUUGACUUGCAGACUUAGGGGUUAAGCCACUUGAUAAUGGUUUAGUCUGGGGCUUAUUUGCAAAGAUGUUGUUAUGGUUCCUGGAUUGGUAAAAAAAAAAAUGUAAUUAAAAAAAAUCUACGGAUGACAAGGGUAUAAAGAAAAAUCAGGUGGAUCUGUCCAUUUAAAUGUCACAUUACUCAGUUCACACUAACAUUGCAUUUUCUUUCAUUCACAAACUAGAUUAGUCCCUGACAUUUACUCUGAGUGUACAAUAAUCCAGAUUUAAAAAGGGAGUAUCUGGGAGUGAUGUUAACCCUUUGAUGUGUCACAGGGACAUCCAUUACAAUAUUAAUGCUUGCUUUCUUUCCCACACAGGCUAAUCACUGCUUAAUUAAAGCACAUUGUAGGAGAGGCUCAGAAGAGAAUUGGAUCUACCUUGUGCUAUCUGGGAAUUACUCCAUAUUCGCAGCUUGUAAGAGUCACUGCAAAGUUUUCUGGGAGCCAUGACCACACAACACGCCACUUAAAUGCUCCUGACAGAGUAAAUGACAUCUGAUCAGCACAUUGAGAAAGUAGUUUCGAAGAUGGACCUUAGAACAUUUUCUUCAUUGGUGCAUAUGCAUUUAUGUGAAUUAGAAAUCCUAUUUAAUGCACCUUGUGGCAAACCUAGCCACUUCAGUAUAUCAAAGACUGGGUCCAUGUGUUAAUUUUAUACUCCAAAAGACUGAGGGCAUUCGUAUGCUAGUUUCACGAACAAAUGUGGAAUAUACUGUUCGUGAAACGAAUGAACAACCGAACGAGAGACCACACAGGGGAGUCGUGUGUCUCCAAUUAACAAACUGACAACAUUUUUAACCGCAGAACAUUAAUGGUUUUAUGUGCGGUCGCCACACGUGGCGGCGGCCAUCUUUGCUUAUGAACGCCCAGCGGUGUUUGGUAUUUGAGUGCCUGGAACUAAAAUCAGCUACUCGACUUUGCGAACACUGCUGGACUUCCAUGCCGUUCGUAUGAUUAUAUCCAUUCGUAAAAAUAGAGCGGCGUUUGAUGGAUUAAACUCCACGAACCCUAUUCAAACAGUCAGCAUCUAACUAUGUAAUUUCAAUGGGUGUUCAUAUGAACCUCUUCAUUCGAAUGGCUUUCCUAUUCUAACGAAUGGAUCUAAGCGGUAUUUCGCCAGAUGGUGCGCUCAGAUCCCAGCCAUUCAAUGAAGGGUCAUUCGGCCAAUUCAGUGUAAAAUUGUACAAGUUAUGGAUUUUUAUGUUAAAUGUUAUAUUUUUCUGUACGGAGAGAAUGUAAUUAACAGUAUACUCUUACGCAAUUAUCUCUCCAGUACAGAAAAGCAUGAUGGGAAAUAACAUUGCAGGUUAAGUUUUCCCACAGAGGCCACCAGGGGAAAACCCCUUGCAUGGGGACUUGUAUAUAAACGGUUGCAUUGGAAUGAAAGCUCAGUUGACUCCAAAACUAUGUGUUGUCUACUAUUUGGGAAAAAGGGAUUGUAUUUACGCUGCAAAAUUAAAGUGCGCUGUGCCUUUAAGACUCAAAACAGUGAAAAUAAUUUGUGCA